UACGUAGGGAGCAAGCGUUGUCCGGAAUCAUUGGGCGUAAAGCGCGCGUAGGCGGCCCGAUAAGUCCGCUGUGAAAGUCAACGGCUCAACUGUUGGAUGCCGGUGGAUACUGUCGGGCUAGAGCACGGAAGAGGCAAGUGGAAUUCCUGGUGUAGCGGUGGAAUGCGCAGAUAUCAGGAGGAACACCUAUAGCGAAGGCAGCUUGCUGGGACGUUACUGACGCUAAGGCGCGAAAGCGUGGGGAGCGAACAGG
rnacentral:rRNA from 1 species